rnacentral:rRNA from 1 species
ACUUCGGGAAACCGGAGCUAAUACCGGAUAAUAUUUUGAACCGCAUGGUUCAGAAGUGAAAGACGGUCUUGCUGUCACUUAUAGAUGGAUCCGCGCUGCAUUAGCUAGUUGGUAAGGUAACGGCUUACCAAGGCAACGAUGCAUAGCCGACCUGAGAGGGUGAUCGGCCACACUGGAACUGAGACACGGUCCAG